rnacentral:rRNA from 1 species
AAGUCGAGCGAACAGACGAGGAGCUUGCUCCUCUGACGUUAGCGGCGGACGGGUGAGUAACACGUGGAUAACCUACCUAUAAGACUGGGAUAACUUCGGGAAACCGGAGCUAAUACCGGAUAAUAUAUUGAACCGCAUGGUUCAAUAGUGAAAGACGGUUUUGCUGUCACUUAUAGAUGGAUCCGCGCCGCAUUAGCUAGUUGGUAAGGUAACGGCUUACCAAGGCAACGAUGCGUAGCCGACCUGAGAGGGUGAUCGGCCACACUGGAACUGAGACACGGUCCAGACUCCUACGGGAGGCAGCAGUAGGGAAUCUUCCGCAAUGGGCGAAAGCCUGACGGAGCAACGCCGCGUGAGUGAUGAAGGUCUUCGGAUCGUAAAACUCUGUUAUUAGGGAAGAACAAAUGUGUAAGUAACUAUGCACGUCUUGACGGUACCUAAUCAGAAAGCCACGGCUAACUACGUGCCAGCAGCCGCGGUAAUACGUAGGUGGCAAGCGUUAUCCGGAAUUAUUGGGCGUAAAGCGCGCGUAGGCGGUUUUUUAAGUCUGAUGUGAAAGCCCACGGCUCAACCGUGGAGGGUCAUUGGAAACUGGAAAACUUGAGUGCAGAAGAGGAAUAGUGGAAUUCCAUGUGUAGCGGUGAAAUGCGCAGAGAUAUGGAGGAACACCAGUGGCGAAGGCGACUUUCUGGUCUGUAACUGACGCUGAUGUGCGAAAG